CCGCUCGUAGCUCAGCUGGUAGAGCAGCUCCCUUUUAAGGAGAUGGUCGCAGGUUCGAUUCCUGCCGAGCGGA
rnacentral:tRNA from 2 species